GGAAGUCAGACUAGUAGUACCAGAAACAGAUGACCCGUCACUACUAGUAAUGACAUUUCGGGCAUGGUUUCUAGGUACAGUUUCGUGCACCAUACUCAUUUUUCUAAAUACAUUCUUCACUUUUCGUACUCAACCAUUAACACUAUCGGCGAUCUUGAUGCAAAUUAUGGUUUUGCCCAUUGGUAAAUUCAUGGCAUCGAUACUUCCAAAAGGGGAUAUAAGAAUUAUGGGUACAAGUUUUAGUUUAAAUCCAAGGCCUUUUAAUAUGAAAGAACAUGUUAUCAUCACAAUCUUUGUAAACUGUGGUGUUGCUAGUGGUGGUGGUGAUGCUUAUUCUAUUGGUGCUAUUACUGUCAUGAUAGCUUAUUACAAGCAAAGCUUGAACUUUCUUUGUGCUCUUCUAAUUGUCUUGACUACUUAGAUAUUGGGGUAUGGAUGGGCAGGGAUGUUGAAGAGGUAUUUGGUUGUUCCGGAUGAAAUGUGGUGGCCGUCAAACCUUGCUCAGGUUUCUUUGUUCAGAUGUCUGGAUCAAAGGACGAGACGAGGGGAAUAAUCAAGCAGAGAAUCCGUUGGUGUCCCUUUCGAGAAGAAAAGAGGGCCCACAUUUGAAGGCAAUGUAAGAGGUAGGUGUUGCUGAAGGACAGUUGUGUUGAUGUAAAAUCAAACCCCAAUUUAAUUAAUUCUUGAGCAAUCAAUUCCUAACAAUGACGGGGAGCACUCGUAUGUUACUCUCUUCGUCCCACUAUUAAGUGCCCUAGUUCAAGUUUGUACAAUUUUUAAGACAAUUAAGGAGAAAA